GAGCACGUAGGUGGGUUUGUAAGUCAGAUGUGAAAGCCUUCUGUUCAACGGAAGAAUUGCUUCUGAAACUGCAAACCUUGAGUAUAGGAGGGGAGAAUGGAACUUCUGGUGGAGCGGUGAAAUGCGUAGAUAUCAGAAGGAACGCCGGCGGCGAAAGCGGCUCUCUGGCCCGUAACUGACGCUGAGUGUGCGAAAGCUAGGGGAGCAAACGGGAUUAGAUACCCCGGUAGUCCUAGCCGUAAACGAUGGGCACUAAGUAGAGGGGUUUU
rnacentral:rRNA from 1 species